GACGAACGCUGGCGGCGUGCUUAACACAUGCAAGUCGAACGAAAGCGUAGAGAAAGCUUGCUUUUUCUACAAUCCAGUGGCGAACGGGAGAGUAACGCGAAAACAACCUGCCCUACGGAUGGGGACAACAGCCGGAAACGACUGCUAAUACCGAAUACGUGCCGAAAGUCGGGGGACGAUCGGAAGAAAGGAUGGCGUCUGUUCUUAAGCUAUCGCCGGUGGAGGGUUUUGCGGCUGAUUAGCUAGUUGGUGGGGUAAAGGCGCACGAAGGGGGCGAUCAGUAGCAGGACGGCGAGGAUGAGCGGCCACACUGGGAGUGAGACACGCUACAGACGCCUAGGGGAGGCAGCAGGAGGGAAUCGUGCGGCAGGGGCGAAAGCCUGACGAAGCAACGCCGCGUGAGGGAAGACGGCCGUCGGGUUGUAGAGCUCGGUUAUCCGGGACGAAUAAUCUUGUGGUUAAUACCCAUGGGAAGUGACGGUACCGUAAGAGAAAGCCACGGCUAACUACGUG
rnacentral:rRNA from 1 species